AUUGAACGCUGGCGGCGUGCUUAAUACAUGCAAGUCGAACGAGGUGCUUUUGUAGCAAUACGGAAGUAUCCUAGUGGCGAACGGGUGAGUAACGCGUUGGUGACCUACCCCGAAGUGUGGGAUAACAGUCCGAAAGGAUUGCUAAUACCGCAUGUGGUCCCCGGAUUUAGAAACCGGUGACUAAAGCAGCAAUGCGCUUUGGGAGGGACCUGCGUCCCAUCAGCUAGUUGGUGAGGUAACGGCUCAACAAGGCGUCGACGGGUAAGGGACCUGAGAGGGUGGUCCCUCACAAUGGCACUGAAACACGGGCCAUACACCUACGGGUGGCAGCAGUAGGGAAUAUUGGGCAAUGGGCGAAAGCCUGACCCAGCAACGCCGCGUGUACGAUGAAGGCCUUCGGGUCGUAAAGUACUUUUCUGGGAGAUGAGAAAGGACAGUAUCCCAGGAAUAAGCUUCGGCUAACUACGUGCCAGCAGCCGCAGUAAUAC
rnacentral:rRNA from 1 species